AGAACUCCACUAAGGGAUGCCUCU
rnacentral:piRNA from 1 species